CCUACGGGAGGCAGCAGUGGGGAAUAUUGCGCAAUGGGCGAAAGCCUGACGCAGCGACGCCGCGUGAGGGAUGAAGGUCUUCGGAUCGUAAACCUCUGUCAGCAGGGAAGAACGGUCACUGUGCUAAUCAGCAGUGAAUUGACGGUACCUGCAAAGGAAGCACCGGCUAACUCCGUGCCAGCAGACGCGGUAAUACGGAGGGUGCGAGCGUUAAACGGAAUUACUGGGCGUAAAGCGCUCGUAGGCGGUAUGUCAAGUCAAGGGUGAAAUCCCCGCGCUCAACGUGGGAACUGCCUUUGAAACUGGCAAACUUGAGUGUGUGUGAGGAUAGUGGAAUUUCAGGUGUAGGAGUGAAAUCCGUAGAUAUCUGGAGGAAAAUCAGUGGCGAAGGCGACUAUCUGGCACAUAACUGACGCUGAGGAGCGAAAGCGUGGGUAGCAAACAGGAUUAGAUACCCUGGUAGUC
rnacentral:rRNA from 1 species